UACGAAGGGGGCUAGCGUUGUUCGGAAUUACUGGGCGUAAAGCGCGCGCAGGCGGUCUUCCAAGUCAGUGGUGAAAGCCCGGAGCUCAACUCCGGAACUGCCAUUGAAACUGUGAGACUUGAGUACGAGAGAGGUGAGUGGAAUUCCCAGUGUAGAGGUGAAAUUCGUAGAUAUUGGGAAGAACACCGGUGGCGAAGGCGGCUCACUGGCUCGUAACUGACGCUGAGGCACGAAAGCUAGGGGAGCAAACAGG
rnacentral:rRNA from 1 species